GAUGAACGCUGGCGGCGUGCCUAAUACAUGCAAGUCGAGCGAACAGACGAGGAGCUUGCUCCUCUGACGUUAGCGGCGGACGGGUGAGUAACACGUGGCUAACCUACCUAUAAGACUGGCAUAACUUCGGGAAACCGGAGCUCAUACCGGAUAAUAUAUUGAACCGCAUGGUUCAAUAGUGAAAGACGGUUUUGCUGUCACUUAUAGAUGGAUCCACGCCGCAUUAGCUAGUUGGUACGGUAACGGCUUACCAAGGCAACGAUGCGUAGCUGACCUGAGAGGGUGAUCAGCCACACUGGAACUGAGACACGGUCCAGACUCCUACGGGAGGCAGCAGUGGGGAAUCUUGCGCAAUGGGCGAAAGCCUGACGGAGCCACGCCGCGUGAGUGAUGAAGGUCUUCGGAUCGUAAAACUCUGUUAUUAGGGAAGAACAAAUGUGUAAGUAAAUAUGCACGUCUUGACGGUACCUAAUCAGAAAGCCACGGCUAACUACGUG
rnacentral:rRNA from 1 species